AUGCCACGCGCCCGGUGUGACGGCCUUACAGCGGGUGGGGCUCUUCGUCGGCGGCCUUCCCGACCACAUCCGCGUGGACGUCGAGAUGAAGGGGCCCCAAGACCUUCAGACGGCCAUGUACUAUGCUCGGGCGUUCGAGCAGCACGCCCAAGCUUUGACGCGGCCAUCCGCGCCACGUCAGGGCCGCCACCCCCCCGGCUGCCUUCGACAGCACUGGCGUCUUCCACCGCCGCCCCGGCACCGACGCGGCUGUUCAGGCGCCUUACUCAGGCGGAGCAGCUGGAGCGCUGGCGCUUGGGCCUGUGCUUCAACUGCGAUGCGGCUAUGCACCAGGCCAUGUCUGCCCGCGCCUCUUCUACUUGGAGACGACAGACAAGACCAAGGAUGACACCCCGGAGGAUGGCCUCGCCAGCCCUUGCGGAGCCCGCAGCGGCACUCGCGCCUGCCCCGGCUAUCGCCCUCGUGGUGUCACUUCACGCGUUGGCUGGCAUCCAUGAUGAACGGAUGAUGCUCUUACAGGUCAUGAUCCACGGCGAGCGCCUGGUGGCCCUCCUGGACACAGGUUCCAUGCAUAAUUUCCUGCCGGAGGCCACCAUGCGGCGCCUUGCACUACAGCCGACCGGCGGGGAGCAGUUGCGGGUCACUGUCGCUAAUGGCGACCGUCUACGCUGCCAUGGUCUUACCCGCGACGUGCCCAUCACUAUCAGUGACGAGCACUUCACCAUCACCUGCGCCGGCAUCGACUUGGGUUGCUUUGACUUCAUCCUCGGCGUCGACUUCUUGCGCACGUUGGGUCCCAUUCUCUGGGACUUCGACGCGCUGACGAUGACCUUCUAG
rnacentral:rRNA from 1 species